rfam:Stegodyphus mimosarum contig19926, whole genome shotgun sequence.
GCCUUCGUGGUAUAAUGGUCAGCACACUUGAUGUGUGUUCAAGAGGUCGGAGGUUCGAGUCUCUGCGAGGACA